rnacentral:rRNA from 1 species
AUACGGAGGGUCCGAGCGUUAUCCGGAAUCAUUGGGUUUAAAGGGUCCGUAGGCGGGAAUCUAAGUCAGAGGUGAAAUCUUGCAGCUCAACUGUAAAAUUGCCAUUGAUACUGGAUUUCUUGAAUUAGUGUGAAGUGGUUAGAAUGUGUAGUGUAGCGGUGAAAUGCAUAGAUAUUACACAGAAUACCAAUUGCGAAGGCAGAUCACUAACACUAUAUUGACGCUAAGGGACGAAAGCGUGGGGAGCGAACAGGAUUAGAAACCCGGGUAGUCC